GACGAACGCUGGCGGCGUGCUUAACACAUGCAAGUCGAACGGAAAGGCCCUGCUUUUGUGGGGUGCUCGAGUGGCGAACGGGUGAGUAACACGUGAGUAACCUGCCCUUGACUUUGGGAUAACUUCAGGAAACUGGGGCUAAUACCGGAUAGGAGCUCCUGCUGCAUGGUGGGGGUUGGAAAGUUUCGGCGGUUGGGGAUGGACUCGCGGCUUAUCAGCUUGUUGGUGGGGUAGUGGCUUACCAAGGCUUUGACGGGUAGCCGGCCUGAGAGGGUGACCGGCCACAUUGGGACUGAGAUACGGCCCAGACUCCUACGGGAGGCAGCAGUGGGGAAUAUUGCACAGUGGGCGGAAGCCUGAUGCAGCAACGCCGCGUGCGGGAUGACGGCCUUCGGGUUGUAAACCGCUUUCGCCUGUGACGCAGCGUGAGUGACGGUAAUGGGUAAAGAAGCACCGGCUAACUACGUG
rnacentral:rRNA from 1 species